ensembl:lncRNA
CGGUUAUACCAUACAUGCACUAGUUGUUAGAGAGAACCCUCUUACAAACCAAUACACUUCUAGCACUUACUCAUUAACCUAGUAACCUUCCUGCAAGAUCGCACUCAUCUCACGCCUAAUAUCCUGAUAUACAGCCAAAUAAUAGUUUAGAUAAAAUUUUAAAAUAUCAUAAAUAUAAUAAUCACCAGGUCUUUUUUUCCCCAAACUUCUGUUCAUGCUAAGCCACAGGGCAAAUGAACACCCUCGGAGGAAAGCACUAUCUACCCUCUUCAGUCAGUCACCUAAUAUUUGUGCAUUUUGUGGUAAUAGCAAAACUCAAGUUCAACCACUACCAGCAAAAAAGAUCAUUCUCUCAGAACACAAUAAUGAGCUUAAUGGCAUGUUAAAAUGACUCAGGCCUGCAUGUUACUUAAUGGCAUGCUAAACAAAUUAGUGGGCAAAUAUCUCCAGUCAUCAGUCAACAUUUUCUAACAACACAAUGCAUUCAAUUGUUUAAAAUAUUUUAUUAUGAGUUUUUUGUUUGUUUGUUUGUUUGUUUUUUUUAAAUGUCGUCACUGAUGCUGCCAGGAAGUUUAUAGUAACUCAUAAUUACUCUUUACUGUGGUGAACAGAAAAGCAUCUCAGAAUGCACAAAACGUUGAUGUGGAUGGGCUAUAAUAGCAGAGGACCACAUCAGGUUCAAGGUUUUGUGCAUGCUGAGAUGCUUUUCUGUUCAUCACGGUUGUAAAGAGUGAUUAUAAGAGUUACUAUAUCCUUCCUGGUAGCUCGAACAAAUCACAUCAUUUUCCGCUGAACCUCUCUUAACAAGGCGUUUACACCCACAGAACUGUCGCUCGAUAUGUUUUUUUUUGUUUUUCGCAUCAUUCUGUGUAAACUCUAGAGACUGUUGUGUGUGAAAUUCCCAGGAAAUCAGCAGUAUCUGGAAUAAUCAAACAUCCAUGCCACGGUUAAAGCGAACAUUAACUGAAGCUCUUGACCCAUAUCUGCAUGAUUGGCUGAUUAGAUAGCUGUAAGAAUGUGCAGGUGUUCCUAAUGAAGUGGACAGAGAGUAUUAUCAUAUAAAUAUGAAUUUCUUGUUCCCAUUGAUAUGUGGCAACAUUUCCAAAGCACUUUCAGCUUCCUCACAGUACACAGUACCACUUUCUGCAGCACAUUUCAAUGACGAGGUCUUCGAUUUGAUUUUGGAGAAUCAAAAGGGCUCAUGAAGUCCUUGUCUUGUUAUUCAAACACUACCUAGAGGUAACACUCGUUUGCAUAAAAAAAAUUCAGCUUUGCUUUACUGAACUUUUGCCAUGGUGCAAAAAUUCAGCAAAAACCCUCUUCCAACAAAUCAUAAACCUAAGAUUUAUGAUGAAUAAAUCACUCGCCAAUAAAGACGUACAGUAUACAGAUAUAGCACAGCAGAUACCCAACUGGGAUAGUGUUUAGUUUUUAUUCUGUUAACUAUGCUAUAGUUUAAAUCUUCUUAAUCUAAUCCUAGUCCCUUUGUAAUCUCUCCAUCAGGUCUGAAAAAACACAAGUCCAUCCGUGAAGAAGCCGAAGAAGCGUCAUUACGUAGAGAUGUGUGGUGCUUAACCAUUUAAUUAACUUCAUAAGGAGGUAUUUUUCGCCAUGAUAAUGUUCAUUUCUGAUAGGAUCAUUAAUAGAUCCGACAUUAAAAGCUGUACCCUUCAUGAAGCAACACAGAAGAGACAGCUGAACAAGAGAAACCUGUCAUUUUCAAAAAAUAAUAAUAAUAAUUAAAUAAAUAACACGGGUAAGAAAAAGGACACUUGUUCUCUUGUCAUUCAAUGACUGUUCAGAAGCAGCACUUUAAACACUGGCAAUUAUAUUACUCCAUUUAUAGGAAAGCUAAUGCCACUCAAAUUGAACCUCUCAUGGGUCACACCCAGAUAGCGUACUAGUCGAGGUGGGAGUGAAAUAUUUGCUCACUGAGCCUGGGACAAUAGAUCUCUGUACAGCAAGAGUGCCCAAGCCCAAGAGGCAGAAAUAUAUCAGUUAACCAAAGUUUCCCUUACUAUCCUUAGGCAAUUACGAGAAAAGACACACUGGUGACUCUUAGUUUGGGGAGAGGAAGCAAUAUAAAGCUUUGGGGUGAGAACACACACAUGCAUCAUAAUGCAUAACAGGCAUAACUGUGGCUGAAGAGAAAAAUGACAUCACAAUUAGGAUCAUCUACAAGGCGGCAAGCAAACUAAGGGUCAACCGAUGUGGGUUUUUUUCUGGGCCAAUACAUAUACUGAUUAUUAGUAAUCAAGGACACCGAUGACGAUAUUCACGUACCAUAAAUUUGCAGCAUGAAAAUUUACAAGAAUACAUUUCUUACUCACAACGGACAUUAAAUAAACCGUUAUAUAAUGUUUACCGUUAUAACAAUAGAAAAAAAAUUAAGUACUCUGAACAAAAACUGUGUGAAAAGUUGAUUGAAUAUUCACAACAGAUCAUAACAGACCAAAAGUUCACGCACAGGUACUGUGGGAUGAGACCACAGAGGGCUUUACAGGUCAGCAAAUAAUCUUUUUAAUCAAUGCAAAGUUUUACUGUGAUCCAACGACUACUGGCCUCUGAUCUGCCUGUGUUACCAUACCAUAGAUCACAAUAUUACCUUGAAUAUAUUGAUGGACUUAAGGGAAAGGCUCUUUCCUGGUUCAGGUCUCAUCUGUCUGACUGUUGUCAAUGUGUGAAACGUUAAUUGUGACAGCUCUAUUCGUACAAAAGUAACAUUUGGUGUUCCACGAGGCUCCGUUGAAAUUAUUUCAUAAAACAUGGAAUUAUCUUCCGCUGCCUAUGCUGCUGAUGUGCAGCUGGAUGUUUCACCCAAACAUACAAAAUGACAUACACCAACUUAAUAAAGCUGAGGAAUGGGUAAUCGACUUUAUCCUGUGCUGUUUCAGUAUUAUGAUCUAAAAGGUCUAAAUCCAAAGUGAAAGCAAGUCCAAUGCAAGCUCUAUGAAGUUCACAUGGGUCAUGGUCAGGUUUGGUACUCGAUGGUUUUAGAACCACCAAGUUAAAAUAAUUAGGUACACAGCUAGAAGCUUAUUAUUGUAACAGGAGGUUUGAUUGCCUCUGGUAGUAGUUCCUUAAGAAAAUGUGUAGGUGUCAAAUCUAGUACACAAGUUUAAUUAAGUCUGUUGGUUUGGGGUAAAGGAUUCCAAUGGUUCCACUAAAAUGGUUAUAUUGGUGUCUUAAAUAGUAUAAAAUUGUUACAAAUCACUUUCGAAAUUUUCUGUCUAAUGUUUUCAAAUUUGUCAUGAAAAUCAAAAGUCAGAGCUAGUAUACACUCACUAUCAGGUAUCUAUACAUCUGUGUCCCAUCACUCCUAGUGUGAAUCGGGAAUUAUUUUUAUGAUCUUCCAUGAGAGUGGGAGUUUGCAGCGGUUUUUCUAUAGUUGAUGAGCUUUCCUUCCAUGAAAUCUGGAGCAUUACCAGUUUCAUUCGAUGCUAUUUAUGUUCUAAAUGAGUGGUUUUAAAAUGCAAGCUUGAUCAUCAUACCAAGGUGUGAACUGAAGGCAGAAAGCUGAAGGUUAUCUUUCGUUACUGCAGUAACGAGUAGCUGUUUCGAUAAAUGUUAUCACAAGCCUUGCAUUAGAGUAAGGACAGCUUUUCAGAUAGCGCAAAGCAGCAAUUACUGUUUAACUCCAACACCACAGCAGGUUAGUCUGGAUAAACCUAAAUCAACGCACAACAUGAAUUCCAGUAAAACCUAGACGUCACCCCCAUAGACUUAAAGUCAACAAAAAGCACUAAUCACAGGCAACAAGAGUGGGAAGCAAAUUUUAAUCUUAUGUUCAGCAUCAUACAUCAUCAUAGAGUAGAAAUCCCAUUCAUCCAUUACAGAGGCUUCUAGAAUAUUACUCGAACUGAAAAGGAAAAAAAACCCAAAAACAAACACCAUCUGUCUUGAAGCUCAUUAAGAAUGAUAGCAGACCCAUACACAAACACAUUCCUAAAUACGCCCACAUAAACCUGUCUUUAGAGUGAUGAUCCAUCUAUGUGACGUUAUCCAGGGUAGUGUUUUACAUAAAGACAAACCAGAUUGUCAUAAUUGCUGCAAGAAAUAUUUGAAUAAAUAUCGAACCUGAGAAACAACUUGACAUGUUGUUACUCUACUGACUUUCCUGUCUUAUGCUCUCGUAUUUUCAAUUGGUCACGUUUUUAAAUGGGUCAUAAAUUCUUCAUAAAAUUCAAACAAACUUUACAGGAACAUUUUAAUCUGGCUGCCCGAAAACAGUUUUGCACACAGUGCUACGUGGUGUAAAAUUAUCAGUGCUGCCAUUGACUGCAACAGCACCAUUAUGGUAUUAUAUUCGACCUAUUUAAUUCUUUAUUUAAUGAUCAAUGCACCGAAUAUAAAAAUAUAUAAAAUCAAUAAUUUUUUUUAACUAAACAUUGCAACAAAAAUAAAACAAGUCUUUCUGAGCAGAAGAGCACUUAAUGCUAUACUACUUAAAUUAAAUAUUGAUAUUAGAUUAUAAACAGAGAAACUAUCCAGAAACUAUCCAUGAUGCAUUAGGACAUUUAUUGCUUGUAAUCAGGGCACUUCACUGUUCCUGACUCAAGCAGAUUUCAGACAGUUCAUGCUAUAGGACUGCUUAGUGGCCUUCUCCAAAUGUGGGAGAUUACUAAACUGACAUGCACAUAUACACUCAUACUGACAGAACAGUUUGAAUUUUGAAUCUGUUUCGAGAACACCAGCAUGAAUUGUCAUCCACGAGACCCACACAAGCCAAAGUCUCAAAAGUGAGGAAAGCGGUCAUGAAGCACUUAUGGUAGACAACAACCUCCACGAGAAAGCAAAACUAUUGAUAAAAGCCAGAAAAUAGGAGGGAAAAAAAACGUAAGAAGCAGCCUGCGACAGAGAAGGUGAGAAAGAGAAAGGGGCCAUGAGGCAGUGGUUGCUGUAGUGUGAGCAUGCUGUGGUUUUGUAACCGUGAUGUCACCGAAUGCUUCACUGACCCGCUGACCCAAUGACCUACUUUCCUUCCUCUGCCGCUCGCACGCUCUGAGAUUUAAUCUCUACUCAACAGUGAGACAGCCUGAGCCACUUCUGUCUCUAAGGCAGUGACAUUCCUUCCUGAGGCACACCUAAUGUUUCUCCAAACCCAUUACACACUGUUCCUUUACUGAAAGGAUGGUGUGAGGGAGUGAAGAUUCAGGAAGCUGUCACUGAGAAAAAGCUGCCAAUUAAAACCGUAAAGCAAUGCUGUCUUCAACAGCAACAACACACAUUCAUCUAUAUGUCCAAGUGAACUAGGCAAAUGUGUUGGGGGGGGGUUUCCCGGUUUACACCAGGUCACCUCCUCAUGACCACAUGAAACAAAUUCCUCUGCGGCCACAUUUACAUACAAUCCUCCCUCCCUUAUCUCACACAUGCUGCUCUUUCAUAUAUCCCUGCAAACUUCUACAGAUGUACAAUAUCAACAGAUAUUAAAUGAAAACCUGACUGCCUCUAACAGAAGGCUUGAAAUGGGCCAUGGUUGGAUCUUCCAGCAGGACAAUGAUCCAAAUCAUACAUCAAAAUCAACACAAACAUGGUUUAUUGACCACAAAAUCAAGGUCCUGCCAUGGCCAUCCCAGUCUCCUGACUUAAACCCAUAGAAAACCUGUGGAGUGAACUGAGGAGGAGAGUCCACCAGCAUGGACCUUGAAAUUUGAAGGAUCUGGAGAGAUUCUGUAUCAAGGAAUGAUCUCGGAUACCUUGCCAUGUAUUCUCCAACCUCAUCAGGCAUUACAGGGGAAGACUCAGACCUGUUAUCUUGGCAAAGGAAGGUAGCACAAAGUAUUGACUAAAAGGGUGAAGAUAAUCGUUGCACACCUAUAUUUAACAAAGUAUCUUUCUAUUCUAAACCUGUUUUAUUUACAAUUCUUUGAUAUCCAUGAGAGCAGAGUAUUUUGGGGAAUUUUUUUGAACAAAAGAUCAAACAAUAAAGACAAGUUUUCACAGCCUUUUUUUGCUCAUAUUUACCAAGGGUGCCAAUAUUAGUGGAGAACACUGUAUGAAUCUUCCCCCACACAUAAAUACGUUAAGGUUAAACGUAAAGUCUAAUACCAAAUAGUGUACUCACUAUUCAGGCAGGCAGCACACAUUUGUCUAAGGCCUGGCAAUCCAUCCAUUCGCACACAAACACUGCAGUAACAAUUUAAAUCACCAUAUAUCUGCUUGCUUCCACCUCACUCUCAUUCAGCUUAAAUACUACACAACUUUCUGUUUGCAUGCCAAGAGCCCACACACCCUGGGCAUUUUCAUCACAGACUCUGCAAGUCUCUGCAAGCUCUUUGGGUGUAUGCGUGUGUGUUCUCUCAAAUGUAGGUCAGUGAAGCUUUGAGUCACUCCAACACGGAUCCUCAGUGCCGCCCGGUAUGCACGGUGCCAUGACAACGGCGCCUGUCAGCAAUGCCAUAGCAACCGCUCACACCAGCAGGGGUAAAAAUAGACACUGAAUUCCUCCACAGAAGAAAUUCCCUCCUUUCCCCAUCUCUCUCUCUCAUUCCCAAGCAUUCAGGUAUACAGACCGUCUCCCACGUCAACAGAACCGGAGUUCCCUCUAACGCACUUUUAUUACGAAUCCAAAAUCAGGGUCAAGGUGGUGGGAUGGUGAUGAUAUUCCCUACACAUUUUUGUUAAAAACCUUUGCACUUGCUUUAUAUGACUCAGCAAAGUCUGAAAAAAAUGGGAGGGGGGUGGGGGAAGAGAACUUCCCAGUUUUCCCAAACUUUCCAGUCUGCAUACCAUCAGUUCCUCUUAAUAGUACAAAUUUGGGGUGCAGAUGUAGGCUUUUCCACCAUGGUGUUUGUCUACCCAAAGUAACAGCCUGCAAAGAUUGGGUAUCGACUGCACUACAGUGGAUUCUAUAAAUAUUUACCCCCUUGAAUGAUUUACCACCUGAAAAUUAAUUGGACUUUAUUUGGAUUAUGGCAUGAAUCUACAGAAAAAAAAUAAUAAUAAUUUAAAUAAUUAUACAUUAUAUUGAAGUCAGUAGUAAAACAAUAAAUCAAUGUAGUUUGCAAAAUGAUUUGCAAAUAAACAUUUUUUAAAAUACAUAAGCAUGAAACCCAGACAUUAGUUCUGAGGCAACCAUCAGCCAUCAGAAAUCACAAUUAGUCAAAUCUGUGUGCAAUUAAAGCAUCGCGUGAUCUCAAUACACCUAUUCCUGGAAGGGGCCCAGAGUUUGUUACAGAACAUACCUAAACAAACCACAUCAUUAGGACCAAAGAGUUCUCAAACAAGUCCAAGACAAAAGUUCUGGAAAAGUAUCAAUCGUGCUUUUGUUAUUUGGUUAUAAAAAAAUAAAUAUCCCAACCCACAGAAAACCAUUAAAUCCAUGAUUAUAAAUUGGAAGAACAUGGAAUAAACAACUACGACUCAGCUUAACGUAGGCUGUCCACCCAAAUUCAACACCCGGGUAAAAAGGGGAUUAGUCAGAGAAGCAAUUCAAAUCAGCACAAUAUGGCUCCCUAGGCAACGUAAUGACCAAUUUGUGGGAUAACAAAUAAUGUCAUGUGGUAAACAUCAUUUGCUGAUAAUGAGUUCAAACUCUUCUGUUUACUUCACACACACGCAUAUACAUGAAAUCAUUAAACCUGUGUGUACAACUGAAAUAAAUUUGUUCAAAUUGUAUAAAAUCGCAGUAAUUAAUCACCAGUUAAACGUUCUGAAGCCACCAAUCAAAAGUUCUCAUGAGUGAGUUUCCUUACACAUCAAUUACACAAACUCAGGAUCUCUCUCAGGAUACAACCAUUUCUAACUGACGAACUGGAUUUUAAUGAAUGCCACAUUGUGUAAAAGCUCCUACAAAUGAUUUACGGAUAAACCCGUUUGUAUCCAGGUUGAUACAAUCAGGACAAUAAUACAUGGACAAUAAUAAUCUGAUAUUAACCCAUUUAAGACUAUACUCAGAUUAAGAAACUAGCAUGUAAACAGCGAUUAUUGAUGACUUUAAUCCGACUAGUCAUACUAUGAGUAAACACAAAUGGAAUUAAGACAUGUGGAGUAUUCCUGGUUUAGUCACAUUAUGGAUGUGCAUUACCGACACGUACACACAUCAAUCACACUAUUAAGGUCGUGUGGGAGUUUUCACCGCAUUUUGCGGUUGAGCAUUUACACGGCAGUGCUCAACCGUUAGACGGCAAACAAGAGAGCAUGGCUGUGUCCCAAACCACAUACUUACCUGCUACAAUAUAAAAUAGGAGAAAUACAUGCAUCUUAGCUGCUAUAUAGUAGGCAAGUGUGUGGUUUCGGACGCAGCCCACGACUUCAAGAAGUCAUCUAUUUGCACGUACAGCAUGACAAAUAAUUAACUGCACUUGAAACACCCAAAACUGUAUACGGUACCAUAACAAAGACCAAUUGUAUCUCGAUACGUGACAGUGUGGAGGGAACAUCGGACGGCGUGGCGUGGGGACGUAAUGACGUGUGCCGUUAAUCGAUCUAUGUUCUAGAACAUGUAAAACGGGAACAUGAAAGGAAUAUUCUAAAAGCAACUCAUGCAAAAACCUUAUUCACACUAUUGUCUUACUCAGAACAAGAUCAAUAAUUAGAUUAUUGAUGUCCAUGUAAACGUAGUCAAUGACGCAUCAUGAGAGGACAUACACAGAAAACCCUCUCUCUCAUCAUGUGAAUCCAAAACGCACGUUAAUUACAUGCAACAUAUGCAAAUAAAUUACAGAUGGAGGAAGACAUGAGGUCUGCUUUAAGAGUUCCAUCACCAUUUAAACAGCACAGUUACACGGUUACAAAUGACUGGAACAACGCUAUUCGGUAAUUUUCUAUCACUGAAACUUACGCUCCGAGUGGGCAUGACGAAUAUUUCUCAAAUGCACCAUGUGUACAUCCAGAGACACUUCUUGUCGACAACACCUCAGAAUCUGCAUCCCGCUGUGGUUGAGCUGUGAGCCACAAGACCCAUGCCUGGAGCUCACAAAAGCUUCCUUUGUCUGACGAAGACUUCCAGAGGCCAGUGAUUCGGAAAACAUCUGAAAACCUCUGCUUUCCACUGGUGCUGGGCCUCACCGCACAGCUGGCAGCAGGCCUCACACUGGAGCUACUGCAGCCUUGGAGCCAAACGCUGGCACCCCUCUCUGCCAAGUGGGUCAGCCAAGAUCUGGUAUAAAGGGGCAGCGAGCAGGAAGAGAGAGAAUUUCACAGAACUAAUUGUUCAUUCUUUCACCUGACCUCUACAUUUGCUUAUCUAUAUCCGUUUUUUCAAAAACAGCACCUAAUAAACAGAAACACUAGAGUGCCGCCAGGUAAAGAUCAUCAGUGCUGAACCACAACAUUAGACUGGAGAACCAAAAGCUUUUAAAGCAUUCAGUACAGAUUAAUCAAAAAAGGGAAAGGUUUCAACAGAAAUGAGACACCUACGGAAAAAAAAUCUGUCAGUAGAAACAUGCAAAAAAUGUUAGCUGUUGCAAUGUUGUGUCUACAGAACAAAAUAUGCACGCAUAAUCAUGUGGGAUGGGACCGGCUAGAAGUAACGUCAGAUUCUUUGCCAAAAAACUACGCUAGUCAAUGUCUUGUUGAAUGUUUCUUUUUUUUUCCUUUUUAGAAAGUAAACAAAAAGUUCUGCCACCAAAAAUUCAGUCAAUAAGAGAAGAAACAAAACAGAAGAAAAAGGAAAAGUUGCUCCAAGAACAGUUUUUGAAAAGACACAAAGAAUAACUAAAAGACUUAAUAGAAUUCAUUACGCAUACACUGAUGGCCAACCUCUCUCGGUUGUCUCUGUGGGGAAUUUUGAAGGCUAAUGAAGCAUAUUGGCCAUUACAUGCCAUUUUUUCCAGAUACAGGUCUACCAGAAGUGUAUGUACAUCAUUACAGCUCACAUUCAAAAUAAAUAAUAGUACUUCCUGAAUUUCAAGUUUCCGUUUCAGCUAGGAAUUUCCAUUUUGGUGAAUCAGUAGUACUUACUACUGUCAGCUAACUGAGGUACUAACAUUUUUAAAUGAUGCUAUAAAUCCAAAGGAAAAAAAAAAAGAAAAGAAGAGCAGCAUCCUGAAAGUGAUAUUAAGUGAAAUAAUUUCCAAAUGGUAUUAUCACAAUCAGCAUUUUAUUUAUCACUGUAUCUGAAUCUCAAGUCAAGUGACUUUGUCGUCAUUUCAAAUCAUAAACAGCUGGUACAGUGCACAGUGAACUGAAACAACAUUCCUCCAGGACCUCGGUGGUACAUAAAACACACUAACUACAUGAGACGACACAGAACUAAAUAUGUACACAUUUCUAUAUAAAGUGCACAUACAAACGUGUGUUAACACCACAGGACAGUACAAUACUACUAAAACAGGACAAUAGGCACAGUAAGUGACAGUGUAGCACAGACAAGUACACAGUUCUAUGUGGAAGUGUCUGAUAUACAGGUAGUGCAGAAGAUAGGUGCCAAAGAGUAGCAAUAUAAUAUAAAAAUAGUAUAAAUGUAAACAUAACAUGCUAUGACUUAGUAUUCAGCAGAUUAGUGUAUACCAAAUAUGGACAUAGCAGUUGUUGCAGUAGCAGCCAGGUAAAGUGUAUAAUCGUGACAAGAAAUUAAAUACCAUAUUUUUAUAAUAGAGUACCACCAAAAAUGCAACAGAGUCAAUGCAGGAAUGUGCAAAUAUUGCAAUGGGAGUGGGAUGGUGUUUAGUUCAGUGUGUGUGUGCACAUGUGAGUGAGUAUGUGUCAGUCCAGUCUCUUGAGUAUUGAAGAGUCUGAUGGCUUGGGGGAAGAAGCUGUUACACAGUCUGGUCGUGAGACACUGAAUGCUUUUUUAGCCUUCUCAGAAAGAGACGCUGCUGGGUUUUCUUAGUUAUGGAGCUGUUGGAGUGGUCGCUGUGUGGUCUCCUGAAGUCAACAACCACGUCUUUCGUUUUGUCCACGUUCAGAGACAAUUUGUUGGCUCUGCACCAGUCCAUUAGCCGCUGCACCUCCUCUGUGUAUGCUGACUCAUCAUUCUUCCUAAUGGAGACCCACCACGGUGGAUUUAAGCUGUGCAUUGCUGCACAGUCAUGAGUGAGCAGAGUGAACAGCAGUGGCCUGAGCACACAGCCCUGAGGGGGCCCCCAUGCUCACUGUGGUGGUGCUGAAGAUGCCGUUCCUGAUCCGUACCGACUCCAGUCUCCCAGUCAGGAAGUCCAGGAUCCAGUUGCAGAGGGAGGUGUUCAAUUCCAGUAGGUUCAGCUUUCCAUUCAGGUGCUGAAGAAUAGUUGUUUGAAUGCUGAAGUGAAGUCUAUGAACAGUAUUCGAAUGUAGGUGUCCUUCUUGAACAGGUGGGUAAGGGCCAAAUGUAGGGUGGUGGCAAUGAAAUCAUCUGCUGAGCGGUUGGGACGAUAGGAGAACUGCAGCAGGUCCAAUGAGGGGGGCAGUAGGGUCUUGAUGUGCCUCAUGAUGAGUCUCUCGAAGCACUUCAUGAUUAUGGAUGUGAGCGCAAAGGCACGGUAGUCACUGAGGCAAGACUUCUUCGGCAUGAGGACAAUGGUGGUAUCCCUGAAGCACGUUGGAAUGAUGGCGCUGCUCAAGGAGAUGUUGAGGUCAGUGAGAACAUCCACGAGCUGGUCUGCACAUCCUCUGAGCACUCUGCCAGGAAUGUUGUCUGGUCCAGCAGCUUUCCAUGGGUUGUCUCUGCGUUGAGUUUUCCUCACAUCAGCCGAGGUUAGACACAGCACCUGGUUGUUGGGAGGAAGGGUGUUCUUCCUGACCAUCACAUCAUUCUACGCUCAGAUUGAGGCACAGAAGUUGUUCAGUGCAUCUGGAAGGGAGGCAUCACUGUCAAAGGCGGGUGAUGUCCUGUAGUUGCUGAUUGCCUGAAUGCUCUGCCACAUCUCCCACGUGUCGUGCUAUCCUUGAAGUGGCUGUGGAUUUUCUAGUCGUGUACACACUUUGACUCUCUGAUGGUCUGGCACAGUUUGGCCCUCGCUGUUCUUGAAUUCCUGCGGUAAAUAAAAUGGUCUGCAUCUAACAGUCACAAACUCCACCAGCGAUGAGCAGUAACUAGAAACUAGCAGAGUUUUUGCACAUUUCAGUGUUACUGUAAAUACACAAGCCACCACUGAGAGCCUGACCACACAGAGCUGCAUUUUCAAAUGCAUUCAAACACAUCCAAAUACAAAACAGUUUUUGAAAAGUGGAAUGAUGACGUUUAAAUAAACAGACAUCUUUCAUUUUCAGAAAUGUUCAAGGACAAAGGACAAAAGAAAACCAGCUCGUGCAUCACCGAUAUUGCUAACGCAAGCUUUAGUGAGACAGGAGGCGAUGGAAUGCCUAGUUGGUGGAAAUGUGCUUUUGUUCUAGCUUUUUUCUACAUACUGAAUUUUACACUUUUCUUUUCAGUAUUUAGAAAUGUCAUUUUUAUUUCGCAGACCAAAGCGUCAGCAAAAACAACACCGCGGUAAUGUAUUCUACGUUUUCACUACUAAAGUAGUUUAUAAAAUGUAAUAUGUCUACUCAAGCAGAAAUCAGUGACUCUACUUUAGCACAGUGAGGAAAAGAUCUCGGCGGCAGACCAGAAAACUCUGUGUUUAAUAGAAAACCUGUAUUUAGAGCUUAACUCUGGAAAAUGUUCUUCAAAUAAAACAAGCACUGCAAUCUUACAAUUUCAAAUAUUAAUUUCCAUGAAUAAGCAGAGCAAACAGAAAGAGGUUUGAAGCGCGCACUGUGUCUAUAGAUAUUUAACACACUGCCAUUGAAACACAGGCAGGACUGUAAGGACUACGCAUUAUGGAAACAAACACAAUACCUCUUUCGUAUAGUAAUAGAACAGGCCAUGCCGUUACAGGGAAUUAAUCCCGUACGAAAUGAAAGCUCUGUGUUAUUUAUCCUUCACUACAGCGAAAACAAUUUUUCCACUAAGGAUACGCCACACGUUUAAACAGUUUAUCGUUACAUGUAAUGCUACCUGAAAGCACUGACCCUGAGAAUCCUUCAACAAAUAUAAACAUCUAAAAGAAAACUUCAUAUCAAUGAUUAUAUGGUGUUUGUGAUUGUUGAAUAACACGUUUUUAGUUAUAUUAACUUAUCAUUAGUCUUAGAUUAUGUGACGCCUCUGCCAUACUAGUCCCUGUUACUAUAGAAACAGUAACAUAUACCAAGCAUGUUAAUACAAACAUAUUAUUCAUGUUAUAGCCAGAACUACAGUUAAAAGCCAUUCAUCCACACCUUCUGGUUCGAGAAUUUAACAGCAAUGUGGUAUAAAAGGAAGUAAAGCCAGUUAUUAAAUCAAUCAAUAAUUCAUCACUAGAUACUAUACAAAAACACAACAUAUUAUUGAACGGCAAUGCUGUGGCAAUUCAGCGGCAAUGUGCUGAAUAUAAACAGACAUCAAUUCAAUCAACGAAGAAGAAGUGAUUUGUCAGUAACCAAGUAAUCUUUCCAAAACGUAAACUCACUGAAAACAAAAGCCUCAAUUUCACUAAUCCACAUUCCUUCAAGCCACGACUCAACCCUCCAUCACUCAAGACACAAGGAAGGUGUGCAGCAAGACAUCCCUGUACUGGCACCAAGCUGGUAGAGUAAAUGACCCCUGGCCAGAGUGCCCUCACUGACCUGCCUCUUCACCAAAUACUUCAACAACACAUUAAACAAAACACCCUCCUCUCUCGGUUUCUCGAUGCAGACUACAAGGUCACUCUGCACAAAGGGCGUCUAUUAAAUGCUUUAAAUGUACAUUUGACUUAGCAGGUUGGAUUACAAAAUGCUGAGUUUGUGUUAUAAGAAUAAGCAAAUAAGUAAGCAGGUCUUUCAUUCCUUGCAAGGUACACAUUUUUGCUUUUCCAAUGUACACCUUGAAGAUACUGAGUUCAAAAUAUUUUGAAAAAAA